AUUCUCCAAGCGCACGCCGCUGUGUGGGUCGCCGAGACGCCAAGGCCGAGGCAGAGCUCCAGGCCAUCGAGGUCGCGUACGCCGCCGAGUCCGGCAAGCGCCGCCAACUCCCAGACUGGUCCAAGGCACCCGCCCCCGCCUCCGUCUGCCCAUAGCCCAACCCAGUCCCCUCGCCCCCCUCCUGCCAAGUGGACUUCACAUUCCAAAGGAGGGACAGAAUCUGGAGUAAUUGAUUAUUUCCAAAAUCUGGAGUAAUCUUCUCAAGUUACAUGAUCAGUUGUGCUUGACUGAAAAUUUUCACAGGAAAAUUUUGACUGGAGUAACAGAGGCAUAACAGUACAAAUUACAGGCGAAUGUGGAUGUUGCACACUAUUGUGAAGGUGUAGCACUGCCCAAUUAAAUUUCCACUUCACAUAUCUACUUCAAUUUCUACUACAAAUUCACCUUUUCAACAGCAGACGCGGGGCAGAGAAGUCAGACGGCGAGGAUGAGCAGAAGCAUCAGACGGCGAGGAGGAGCAGAAGCAUCAGACGGCGAGGACUCGAUCUGGGGGCGUUGGCUUCGCCCAACAGCUGCAGCAUCAGAGGCUGGAGGGAAUCGCGGCGGCAGCAGAAGGAAGCGGCGGCCGGCGACUUGCCCAAAUCCCGCACCGGCGGCCGCGGGCGCGAGGAAGCGGGCAGAGGAUGAGGGCGCGGGCCGCACCGGCUAGGGACGCGAGCAGGGCGACGAGGGAGGUGCCUUCAGCCGUGGAGGAGGCGGGCGUCCAGUUGGUCGCCGCGGAGGAGCAGUCACCUCCGUGUGGGCGGCGGCGCAGCUCGCCUUCGUGCAGGCGGCGCAGGCGGGCAGGGGCGCCGCGGAUUGGCAGCGGCGGCGCAGCGGCGACGCAGGUGGACGGCAGCGCGCUGGGCUCUACGGUGGCUGCCGACGGCGCGCUG